AGAGCUGUGCGAUCGGAGACAACUCCCUCCUCUCUUUCAGGGCCUCAGGUGGCCCAUCUCUAAAAUGGGGGCGGUGCUAUCUCUGAAGGUUCUCAGUUUCUGCCCGCCACCCUGCAAAGCAUGUCGAAUACAUACAAUCAGAAGGCGGUGCAGUGUGGUCGAUCAGGUAUCCGGCUUCCAAUGCUACUUAUCAGCUGUGUGACCUCAGGGUCAAUUAAAAGUGCCAGGAAAACGUCAGUCUCCACGGCAAGGGAAUUCAUCCAUUUGCCACACUUCAGGGAGCAGAGAAGCAACUGCCCACCCCUGUAGGGGACUCAAGUUCCCUCCUGACCUGAGUCAGGGUGCUGUCGGCGGGGGCCAGCCUGAGGCUUCUGUUCCGCAAUGGCUGGGGGACGCACAUACCUGGGGCCCCAGCCCACGUCCCUGAGGCUCACGAUAGAAGAGAAGGCAUUGCCAGCUCCAUUCUACUUUUGCUGAAAUUCAGCGCAGCCAGAGGCCACCCUUUCCAGGGGAGAAAUCUCACUCCGGCUUAGAAAGCAGUGCCAACUAUGCUCUUGAAUAGCAACUCCAAUAUUGCAACUCAAAUUCUGUCUUCUUUGUGGGCUGCGAAAGAUGUUCAGUGGCAAGUGUGUGGAUCUCAAAAGGUGCAUCAUUUGUUUAACCUCACUUCUGCCUUUUUCCUUCUCCUAUUUCCAGUUUGCUACCUUCUCUUCAUUUACUCUUUUAUAAUCUCUCACUGUAUCACAUGGAGAAUUCUAGAAUCUAAAGACUCAGACAUCCUUCCAUAGUGCUUGAACCAAUUUACAUCCUCACCAGGCAUCUGGAAAUUCUCAUCAAAAUCGCAAAGGCGUAUAGCCUUGGACCCGGCAAUUGUGUCAGCAGAAAUUUAUUGUGCAGAUUUACUUGCACCCACACAAAAUGAUAUGUGUCAGCGAUUAGAAAUAGCCCAAAUGUCCAUCAACGGGUGACUGGUAAAUCCAUAAAUGGAAUACUAUGCUGGGAUAAAAAAAAGAACUGGGAAGUUCUUUGUGUACUGACAUGGGAAGAUAUCCAAGAUAAUGUAAGUGGAAAAAGCAGCAUGCAGAAGAAUGUGUGAAAUUUACUACUUUUGUGUA
rnacentral:lncRNA from 1 species